CCUGCGGAGGGAUCAUUACACAAAUAUGAAGGCGGGCUGGAACCUCUCGGGGGUUACAGCCUUGCUGAAUUAUUCACCCUUGUCUUUUGCGUACUUCUUGUUUCCUUGGUGGGUUCGCCCACCACUAGGACAAACAUAAACCUUUUGUAAUUGCAAUCAGCGUCAGUAACAAAUUAAUAAUUACAACUUUCAACAACGGAUCUCUUGGUUCUGGCAUCGAUGAAGAACGCAGCGAAAUGCGAUAAGUAGUGUGAAUUGCAGAAUUCAGUGAAUCAUCGAAUCUUUGAACGCACAUUGCGCCCUUUGGUAUUCCAAAGGGCAUGCCUGUUCGAGCGUCAUUUGUACCCUCAAGCUUUGCUUGGUGUUGGGCGUCUUGUCUCUAGCUUUGCUGGAGACUCGCCUUAAAGUAAUUGGCAGCCGGCCUACUGGUUUCGGAGCGCAGCACAAGUCGCACUCUCUAUCAGCAAAGGUCUAGCAUCCAUUAAGCCUUUUUUUCAACUUUUGACCUCGGAUCAGGUAGGGAUACCCGCUGAACUUAAGCAUAUCAUAGGGGGGGGGAA
rnacentral:misc_RNA from 1 species